CUCCUCUCUCUGCUUCAGCUUGAACUUCAUGUUCCCAUGAUGCAUCACAGCACCGUGAUGCCACUGCAAGAGGAAGGAGGAGGGACACUGGUACAUAAAGAUGAUAGCAGCUCCCCUUCUGCCCAAAGCAAAGGGAGAAAAAGUCUCAAGAUUCCGCCAUGGUUACUCAUGAUGCCCAUCAGGGUUUAUUCACUCAAUAAAUAUGUGCAACUCAAUAUGUUUGAUGG